GUCCACGCCGUAAACGAUGGGUACUAGGCGUCGGGGGGAGCGACCCUCCCGGUGCCGUCGCUAACGCAGUAAGUACCCCGCCUGGGGAGUACGGUCGCAAGACUGAAACUCAAAGGAAUUGACGGGGGCCCGCACAAGCGGUGGAGCAUGUGGUUUAAUUCGAAGCAACGCGAAGAACCUUACCUGGGCUUGACAUGCUGGUGAAAGCCGGUGGAAACAUCGGCCCCUCUUCGGAGCGCCAGCACAGGUGCUGCAUGGCUGUCGU
rnacentral:rRNA from 1 species